GAUGAACGCUGGCGGCGUGCUUAACACAUGCAAGUCGAACGAUGAAGCCCAGCUUGCUGGGUGGAUUAGUGGCGAACGGGUGAGUAACACGUGAGUAACCUGCCCCUGACUCUGGGAUAAGCCCGGGAAACUGGGUCUAAUACUGGAUAUGACCUGUCACCGCAUGGUGGUGGGUGGAAAGAUUUUUUGGUUGGGGAUGGACUCGCGGCCUAUCAGCUUGUUGGUGAGGUAGUGGCUCACCAAGGCGACGACGGGUAGCCGGCCUGAGAGGGUGACCGGCCACACUGGGACUGAGACACGGCCCAGACUCCUACGGGAGGCAGCAGUGGGGAAUAUUGCACAAUGGGCGCAAGCCUGAUGCAGCGACGCCGCGUGAGGGAUGACGGCCUUCGGGUUGUAAACCUCUUUCAGUAGGGAAGAAGCCUUUGGGUGACGGUACCUGCAGAAGAAGCGCCGGCUAACUACGUGCCAGCAGCCGCGGUAAUACGUAAGGGCGCAAGCGUUAUCCGGAUUUAUUGGGCGUAAAGAGCUCGUAGGCGGUUUGUCGCGUCUUGCCGUGAAAGUCCGGGGCUUAACUCCGGAUCUGCGGUGGGUACGGGGCAGACUAGAGUGCAGUAGGGGAGACUGGAAUUCCUGGUGUAGCGGUGAAAUGCGCAGAUAUCAGGAGGAACACCGAUGGCGAAGGCAGGUCUCUGGGCUGUAACUGACGCUGAGGAGCGAAAGCAUGGGGAGCGAACAGGAUUAGAUACCCUGGUAGUCCAUGCCGUAAACGUUGGGCACUAGGUGUGGGGGACAUUCCACGUUUUCCGCGCCGUAGCUAACGCAUUAAGUGCCCCGCCUGGGGAGUACGGCCGCAAGGCUAAAACUCAAAGGAAUUGACGGGGGCCCGCACAAGCGGCGGAGCAUGCGGAUUAAUUCGAUGCAACGCGAAGAACCUUACCAAGGCUUGACAUGGACUGGAUCGCCGCAGAGAUGUGGUUUCCCUUCGGGGCUGGUUCACAGGUGGUGCAUGGUUGUCGUCAGCUCGUGUCGUGAGAUGUUGGGUUAAGUCCCGCAACGAGCGCAACCCUCGUUCCAUGUUGCCAGCGGGUUAUGCCGGGGACUCAUGGGAGACUGCCGGGGUCAACUCGGAGGAAGGUGAGGACGACGUCAAAUCAUCAUGCCCCUUAUGUCUUGGGCUUCACGCAUGCUACAAUGGCCGGUACAAAGGGUUGCGAUACUGUGAGGUGGAGCUAAUCCCAAAAAGCCGGUCUCAGUUCGGAUUGGGGUCUGCAACUCGACCCCAUGAAGUCGGAGUCGCUAGUAAUCGCAGAUCAGCAACGCUGCGGUGAAUACGUUCCCGGGCCUUGUACACACCGC
rnacentral:rRNA from 1 species